rnacentral:rRNA from 1 species
UACGAAGGGGGCUAGCGUUGUUCGGAUUUACUGGGCGUAAAGCACACGUAGGCGGAUUGUUAAGUCAGGGGUGAAAUCCUGGAGCUCAACUCCAGAACUGCCUUUGAUACUGGCAAUCUCGAGUCCGGAAGAGGUAAGUGGAACUCCUAGUGUAGAGGUGGAAUUCGUAGAUAUUAGGAAGAACACCAGUGGCGAAGGCGGCUUACUGGUCCGGAACUGACGCUGAGGUGCGAAAGCGUGGGGAGCAAACAGG